rnacentral:rRNA from 1 species
CAGAGGGUGCAAGCGUUAAUCGGAAUUACUGGGCGUAAAGCGCGCGUAGGUGGUUUGUUAAGUUGAAUGUGAAAUCCCCGGGCUCAACCUGGGAACUGCAUCCAAAACUGGCAAGCUAGAGUAUGGUAGAGGGUAGUGGAAUUUCCUGUGUAGCGGUGAAAUGCGUAGAUAUAGGAAGGAACGCCAGUGGCGAAGGCGACUACCUGGACUGAUACUGACACUGAGGUGCGAAAGCGUGGGGGAGCAAACAGGAUU